CGGAAGUGGCGGAAUUGGUAGACGCACCAGAUUUAGGCGCCGCAAGGUGUGAGAGUUCAAGUCUCUCCUUCCG
rnacentral:tRNA from 1 species